rnacentral:rRNA from 1 species
ACGUAGGCGGCAAGCGUUAUCCGGAUUUACUGGGCGUAAAGCGAGUGUAGGUGGUUUUUCAAGUCUUUUUUGAAAUCGUCCCGCUCAACGGGACUGCCGGAAAAGAUACUGAAAGGCUCGAGUCAUAUAGGGACAACUGGAACUCUCGGUGUAGGGGUGAAAUCCGAUGAUAUCGAGAGGAACACCAAGGGCGAAGGCAGGUUGUUGGAUAUGUACUGACACUGAGACUCGACAGCUAGGGGAGCGAAAGGGA